AUACGUAGGGGGCGAGCGUUGUCCGGAAUGAUUGGGCGUAAAGGGCGCGUAGGCGGCGCGGUAAGUCUGGAGUGAAAGUCCUGCUUUCAAGGUGGGAAUUGCUUUGGAUACUGCCGCGCUUGAGUGCAGGAGAGGUUAUCGGAAUUCCCGGUGUAGCGGUGAAAUGCGUAGAGAUCGGGAGGAACACCAGUGGCGAAGGCGGGUAACUGGACUGCAACUGACGCUGAGGCGCGAAAGUGUGGGGAGCAAACAGGAUUAGAUACCCUGGUAGUCCACACGGUAAACGAUGAAUGCUAGGUGUAGGGGGUAUCGACCCCUUCUGUGCCGCAGUAAACACAAUAAGCAUUCCGCCUGGGGAGUACGGUCGCAAGGUUGAAACUCAAAUGAAUUGACGGGG
rnacentral:rRNA from 1 species